rnacentral:sRNA from 1 species
AUGGCUAACGCCCAACUCAAUGACAUUCCGUUAGGGAUGGCUACACCGUCUCGAGAGAGCGGUGCACUUGAUUCGGAAGACCAUAGGGUCAUUGAUGAAAAUGUAAGUUUUACCGCAGUGGCGGUAGAAACUGAUAAGGUAGUCGAGUCUUUGGACUCUUCUCACAAGGCGAGGAGAAAUAUCUCUUCUCGUCAAGAUGAUGAAAUGUCGUUAGUCGACGGGACAGAAGAAGAUGUCAGACAGAGCUGGUCUGACCUAGAUACCAAAAACCCUAAACGGAAACGGGACGACUCCGUACCUAGCAGAAAAGGUAAGAUUAAACACAGGAAAGUUGUUAAAUCAUUCUAGCAGUUCCUCUGAAAAUACUAGUAGCAGUGAAUCAUCUUCUAGUAACUCUGAAUCAGAGAGUUCAGAAGACAAUGAAGCGUUUGACCCAGAACCUUCUUUGUCUAAAGAUAAAAAAGAAAAAGUACCAUCUCAUGUAACCAAAUAUAUAGAGAAGUAUGCUCUAAAGGGUAUAAGUAAAAAGACGAGACAAGAUAUGUCUUUGAAUUGGCCUAUUCCUUCGUCUAAAGGAUUAAAGGCUCUUGAAACAGAUAGAUUUUUUAAGAAAAAUUAUUUUCAAGGUAGAAAAUGGAAUGCUAGAUUAGAGAGAAGUAAAAUUAACACACAGCUACGCAUUCUAGAUGUUAUGGGUCCUCUGUCCCGUUUAUGGUCUGAAGCACAUAGGAUUAAGAAAGAUAAUCAAGGUAUGGACCCUUCUGAUGUAAUUCAGUUAACACAGAGGGCUAUUGUGCUAGCAGGUAAUGCUCACUAUGUUUAUAACACUGACAGGAGAAAAGCAAUGUUAGUUAAAACAAUGCCAGAUAGUCUAGAUUUUUUAAAUGAGAAGAAAGGCAAGAAAGCUUUGGCAAAAUCUAAGGGUCAACUUUUUGGUAAUAAGUUUCUAAAGUCUUUGGCUAAAGAAAACAAGGAUAACAAAGAACUUAGAGAAAUGUUGUUGUUUUCUAACAAGAAAAAACAUGCUGGUAAACCUCAUUUUAAUAGAAAAAAAUGAUCAGUUUUUUCAGCAGGGGCCCACAACUAAAGUCUGUGGGCGGCAGACAAGCUCUCCAUCCACAAGUUUCAGGGAAGAGACCUUGGCAGGGAAACCAGUCACAGAACAGACAGGGGAACAGUUAUGGUCAGCGCCAGAAUCAGCGCCAGAACCAGACCCAGAACCAAAUCCAGACUCAACCUCAGAACAACCAAGUGUUCAAGAAACCUGCAAACCGAUAGAACGGGUAGGUCAAGAGAAAACUUUCAGUCAUAUACAAAACUAUUUCCAAUUACCAAUGAAUUGCAUAAUCAAUCAAAAUUCUAUUCCUGUAGGGGGAAGAGUAAGUCUUUUCCUACAGAAUUGGAACUCAAUUACAAAAGAUCCUUGGGUUCUCCAGUGUGUAAAAGGAAUAAAAUUAGAUUUCUUAGCAACACCUUUCCAAAAUCAAAUACCAAAUCAAGCCUUUUUCAAUCAAGAGAAUCAGGAUUUGAUAAACAAAGAAAUAACAGGACUUUUGAACAAGAAGGCCAUAACACAGUCUUUCCUAACAAAGGAUUCGUUCAUAAGCAACAUUUUUCUGGUACCAAAGAAGGGAGGGGGUCAAAGACCUGUUAUAAAUCUAAAAGGCCUAAAUGUUUUUUUACGUUACGAACAUUUCAAAAUGGAGGGAAUUCAUUUGUUAAAAGAUCUUCUUUUGAAGAACGAUUGGAUGGUAAAAAUAGACCUAACCGAUGCAUAUUUGACAUUGCAAAUAGCAAAAGAACACAGAAAAUACCUCAGAUUUUUUUGGCAGGGAAAAAUAAUGGAAUUCAGGUCCCUCCCGUUUGGGAUUGCAGUAGCCCCAAGAAUAUUCACAAAACUGAUGAAGGUUCCCAUGACUUUAUUGAGACGUUUAGGUGUACGUCUGAUAGUUUACCUAGACGAUAUUCUAAUAAUGAAUCAGUCAAAUCAGAAAAUUUUGUCAGAUCUCUCAACAGUUUUGUCAAUAUUAAGGGGCUUAGGUUUUCUGAUCAAUACAAACAAGUCAGUAAUGGAACCUUCACAAACAAUGGAGUUUCUGGGUUAUACAGUAAACUCAAAGUUGUUGACUUUGUCUCUCCCGAAAGAGAAGGUAGAGAAAAUAAAGAACAGUUCAAAAUUAAUGCUAGAACACAAGAAAGUGUCAGCAAGAGAUUUAGCUCAGUUGAUAGGUCAGUUAACAGCAACCAAAUCAAGCUGUCCUUCCAGGUCCUCUGCAUUAUCGCAGUUUACAAAUAUUGAAAACAAAAAGCCCUGCAUUUGGGGGGCCAUUACGAUCACCAAAUCCAGUUAAACGAGGAAGUUCAGAACGAGUUGCAUUGGUGGGUAACCAAGCUGGGGUCUUGGAACGGGAAAGCGUUACUAAGACCAGAACCCCAUUUAACCAUUCAGUCGGAUGCAAGUCUGUCGGGAUGGGGAGCAACAUGUCAACAGAUAAGUAUAGGUGGGCUUUGGAUAGACGAGGAAAAAUCCCUCCAUAUAAAUCAACUCGAACUAAAAGCAGCAAUGUUCGCAGUACAAUCUUAUGCCAAAAAUCUACAAAACAAGCAUAUUCUUAUACAAAUGGACAACACAACAGCAAUUGUAUAUGUAAACAAAAUGGGGGGAACGGUGUCAAAAAGACUAAAUUCCCUAACAAAUCAGUUUUGGGAUUGGUGUCUUCAAAGGCAAUUAACAAUCACUGCGGACUAUAUCCCAGGAAAAAGCAAUGUUAUAGCAGACUGGGAAAGCAGGCAUUAUGCGGAUUUCAGCAAUUGGCGGUUAAGUCCGAUACUUUUCAAAAGUCUCAUGAAACGCAUAGGUCCUUGCAAUGUAGAUCUGUUUGCAGACAGGUCAAAUACUCACCUGAAUCAAUAUUUCAGCUGGAAGCCAGAUCCCCAAGCGAAAGCGGUAGAUGCCCUUCUCCAAUCCUGGAGAGAGAUAAAGGGUUAUGCUUUUCCCCCGUUCUGUCUAAUAAGUACGUGUCUGGCGAAAGUUCGGGAGGAAAACAGUCAGAUAAUUCUGAUAACUCCAGUUUGGCAAUCCCAGGCUUGGUACCCUCUGUUACUUCAAAUGUCAGUAGAUUAUCCAGUGUUACUUCCCAUGAGUCACAACACUGUAUUGUCUCCCAUGAAAGAGCCACACCCACUGAUUCUGAACAAAACAUUAAAACUAGCAGGGUGGACGGUCUCCGGAGAUCAUUUAACUCAAUUGGAAUUUCAGAGGAAACUAAAGAAUUACUCCUUGGGUCUUGGAAAUCGGGAACAAGAUCUUCUUACGACAGUGCCUGGAAUAAGUGGUCUAGCUGGUGUAGCUCACGGGAAAUUGAUCCCUUUUCAGCACCUUUGGCCGCUAUCUUAGAUUUUUUGACUUGGAUGUAUAAAGAGGGGUAUCAAUACAGAACUUUAAAUGUUCACCGUUCGGCCAUAUCUUCAGUCCUGCCAUAUAUCGAUGGUGUCCCAAUUGGUCAAUUACCUAUAGUAAAACAAUUAAUGAAAGGUGUUCUACAAAAUAACCCACCUUUACCAAAAUACCAAUUUUCAUGGGAUUUGGAUAUUGUUCUUAAAUAUUUAUCCGCUUUACCAAUAAACAAAAAACUUGAUUUUUCAGUUUUAGGUAAAAAAUUAUCAAUUUUAUUGGCUUUGGCAGCGCCAAAAAGGAUAUCUGAAAUUGCAAGGUUAGACAGAAGAUUCAUGUCCAGAAACAAAAGUAGUAUAAUUUUUCAUUUACCGGGUCUGUCUAAAACACAAAAAGAUUGCAAUAACAGAUCAGUGAAAUACUGCAAAUUUUCAAAGAAAAAAUUAUGUGUUAUUUUUCUUGUAUACAUGAAUAUGAAUUGAGAACGGAACAUUUAAGGCCUGUUAGUAAACAUGAACCUGAUCCUUUAUUAAGGUCAACUAAGAAACCUUUUAAAGGUCUAUCUUCGCAGACAGUUGGAAAUUGGAUUAAAUGGGUUAUGAAGGAGGCAGGAAUCGACAUCUCAUUGUUUCAAGCACAUUCUUGUCGCAUGGUCUCAACUAGCAAGGCAGCGAUGAGUGGCAUCAGUAUGGAUGAUAUUAUGUCCAUGGCAGAUUGGUCCAACACUAGAACGUUUAAUAAAUUUUAUUUUAGGACUAAUGAAAAAGCGGGUUUUGCAGAUAAAGUUUUAGAAAUGGUAAGCUUGCUUUAA